rnacentral:sRNA from 1 species
UCCUCGAUCUGCUGCGGGCAGAUGAAGUGGAUAUGCGCGUCCAUGCCGCCGGCGGUGAGGAUCUUGCCCUCGCCCGCGAUGAUCUCGGUGCCCGGGCCGAUGAUGAUGUCCACGCCGGGCUGCGUGUCCGGGUUGCCCGCCUUGCCGAUGGCGCUGAUGCGCCCAUCGCGCAGCGCCACAUCGGCCUUCACCACGCCCCAGUGGUCGAGGAUGAGGGCAUUGGUGAUGACGGUAUCGGCCGAGCCCUCCGCGCGCGUGCGCUGGGACUGGCCCAUGCCGUCGCGGA